CUGAAUCAGCAAGGGACUGCUACCUACUUACACAGUGUCUUUGGACUCACAGUCCUGGUAUAGGAGGUUUCAAGCUCCUCUGUGCACAGAGGUCAUCAAGAAGUCCUGGUGGGAUCAAUGGCCCUGAGCAGGGUGCCUAUGUUCUGCCCACCAUGUGUCACUCCUCUUCCUGCAGCCUGGAAGAAAAAUAGGAAGGGAAAGGAAAAAGAAGCGUGUAUGGGUGCCAGUCAUGCUGUAGUGAAGCUCCCAUCUGCUUCCACCUGGCUGUGGUGCGAGCCAUCCCUGCCUCGAACUGGUGUGUUCUCUGCUGGGGUUAGCCUAUGCCCAGGCAGGGCCGGAGGGGGCUGGUGCCAUGUCGCAAGGGCUCUGCAUGGGAGAGGGUCCGAGCCAGCGGGAAGGAGCCGGCUCCACUCGCAGGCUCCAGCGCUGGCCCCGGCAGCGCAGCUCGGGUGGGAGGGGAUGAGAGCCUCCUUCCACUCCUGCCGGUUUCCCAGUGGUCUAAUUCAGAGCUGCUUCUGGGAUGGGGCCAGUGCCAGACACUGCGGGGAAGAGGGGCAGGAAAUGUGGAUGCAGCUAACACUCAGGUGUUACUUCAUGCCCAGCAAGACAGCAAGAACAUGGAGGCUGCUAGAUUCCAGAUGGGAAAGUCUGCAAAGACCCUGGAGAGAAAACUGCCAGCCAGCAGUCACCAGGACUUGUGGAAGAGAAGACUGGCAGAAAUGUUAUAAUUGGUACCGAGCAAGAAUUAAGCAGAAAUUGGACUAAAAGUGCCUGAGGAUCCCUGUGGGCAUGCAGAGGAGCAAAAUCCAGGGGUAGGAGUCAGCAGCAGGGAAGACGCCCAUCUGGUGCAGACAUCGGCGUUCCCCUCGAGACAAAGAUUUUUGGGUGAAUCACUGCCGCUGGGAGCCGCUGCGAUCAGAAAGCAUGAAGCAGUUCCCUUAGGCAGCUAUCGCCCAGCUGGGGAAUUGGUUUGGAGAAGAGGGCUGAAAGUCUGGAUUUGACCCCAGAUUUGAUACAGAGCUGGUGCAGAGAUUCAGAGUCUGGUGUUUGAAGUUGGUGCCCAACCCAGAGUUAGGGGGACUAAAUUCAGGGGUGGUUGCCUCUGGAAAGGCUGCAUCAAAAUGUGAACCCGACGGGAAAGAAGUGCUGUCUCCUUGCCAAAAGAUGCUUUAUUGCUAUUCAUCUGCAGCAUGGUUAGGUGCCAGCCAAGACUGGGACUCUGCUGCUUGAGGCAAUGUUCAUUCAGAGCAGCAGAUAUGAAUCUCACAGAUGUGGCUAUUUCAGUGUCUAGAAGCGAUGAGGAGCUGGGGAAACACCAAGGCCAUGGGUUGUCCUAACAUGCCAAAAAAUUGGGCCAGUGAUGUAAGUUCUUCUUAGCCUGUUAAUUUUCAGGGUGAGGCCCUCAACUUUUCCCUGGGAAGAGGAAUUCUGAAAGAUAUUUGCAAGUCAAAUCAGUAUUUUUUUGGACUUUCCUUACAAAAUGGAUUCUCAGAGAGUUUCCAGUUUGGGAUCUUGGGUUUUGCAUUUUGUAUUUCAUU